AUUACACAGAAUUUAAUUGACCAGCUGGUUACUGAGGCUGGGAUGCCAAUCCUCUUAUCACUGGUAUAGCAUAAAUGGUGCCUCAUAACACCAGUGACCCGGCCCUUGGCCCCCUUCUAUACCUCACAAAUACAAAUACGAAAUCAAAACAUCGAAACAUUUGUCAUUCCUCGCUAUCACCUUGUAGGGUUGCUGGAGUGGCUUUUUGACAGCGUCUACGCGACAUGCCUGCAGUCCUUCAAUUCUAGAUGCACGAAUGCUUUUUCAUUUGUGUGGUGAGAUGCUGCAGGCGAUCUCAGAUCGGCGAAUGUUUUGUGUAGUUUUUUAGCAGCUAGGUUAGUAGGGAUGGGCGAUACUGUCUGAGUAUCGAUACCUGAGUACUCGAAUACUUUUGCACAAAACGGUACCAAGUAUCGUGGUAUCGGUAUAGAAAGUAUUCCUAAAUACUCGAUGCUUUUGGCCGAAGUAUCGAUACUAUUGGUAUCGAUAUUGGUGUCGCCUUUCCCCAAUAGAAGGCAUUCGUGGUAUCGGUAUCGUUUCAAAGUAUCGUUGGCAAAGUAUCGAUACCGCUACUCAUCGCUGGCAACGAGUAUCGAUGCCGAAAUACUCGAUACUUUGUCGAUACAAGUAUCGCCCAUCCCUAUAGGUUAGUGCGAUCGAUGUUAGGGGAGGAAUGUACAAAACGCACCAGUUAAGCAUUUUCGCGAUUUACAGCGCUUCAAAUCAUUUCAAAGCGACAUUCACACUUAUAUCAAAUCACCGAAUUCGUCUUUUUUUCACCGACUUUUCAACAGCUGAGCGCUCGGUAAAACGUUCGGUAAUAUAAACCACUACCGAUCGAUCAGUAAUAAAUUUUUUGUUGCUUUCUGUCAUUAUUACCGACCUAAUUUGUGAAAACGGCAAAUGCAAUUAGUUGCCAAAACCACCGAUCAAAUCUGUAAGUUGUGUAAGACAAUACCGAAAGAUCUGUGAUAUCUGUUCACUUUUAAUUAUUUAGGUAAACCAGAAAUAUGAUGUAACAUUGUUUUGAUAAAAAAAUAUUUUUAUUCAAAUAUCAAAAAUUUUACCUAUUAAAAAUAAAAAAAAAUCAGAAAUCGACGCUCGCCGCACCGAAUUUGUCAGGGUGAAAAUCAAUUAACCUUCAUGCCAGUUGUGCUCAUAGUUUCAAAACCGAAAAUCUUCCGGGUGUGUCCAUUAACAAGGCGGUGUAAACUAUUUACGUAGCAUGCGACAGAUGCUCGGAAGUAGAGGCAUAUUAUGUGAUGGUUUGAUGCCUAAAAUAUUUACAAACUUACGAAAAAUUUGUACUAUGCGAACAUCUUUUAGCUGAAGUUGUUGGAGAAAGUCCUCCAUGUUUUCGUAGGAACUUCAAUGUUCAAACGGAACCGAGAAUGUGAUUUGACAACCAGAACGAGAACGAAUAAAAAAAUUCGACAGCUCUAUAGUUGGUCCAGUAGUUUUUUACAAAUAUUCGGUAAAAGUUUAAUUUACCGAAGUUCAGUAGAAAAUAUAACAGUUUUCGGUAAAAUCAUUUGCUGAAUACAGAAAAUAUGUAAAGUUUUUUAUUUAUUUAUUUAUUGAAAUAAAUCCAUCCGACUAGCAGUCUUAAUGAAUAAUCGAGUGUAUGGCUGGGAAAAGCCACCUUGAAAGUCACUGGUAGGCGACUAUUAAGGCGGCAUAAAAACCCAGCAUCUUUUUUAAAAAACAAAAACAUCUACAGAGAUAUUACAAAAAUUUGAUACAGAUAACAUAGAUAAAGUCGAAACAAACAAUGCACAUUAAUUAACUAUACUAGAAAUUAAAAUUAACAUUUUGACGAUUAUAAACCAAAGCCAUCCGACGAACAGGUUCAUGCUGGCCAUAAUUCGUGCGGUGUGCGUUGGUCUGCAGUAAUCGCUGAUGACGUUGUGGACGAAGAGGGCAUUGCAGCUGAAGCAUUGUCAAGAUAGCGGGGCAGUCAUAGCAACCAGUGAGGAUUUUGUGCACAUUUCUGGCCAGUAUGUCCUUACGACGUUCUUCAAGGGGUUUUAUCCCCACCAGCAGGCAAAGGUUUUCGUAUGGCGGCAAAUUAUCAGGGUUCCUCCAUGGCAAUCUGCGACAAAUCCUUCGGAUAAAGAGCUUUUGAAUGCGCUCGAUUCGCUGUAUCCGAAAAUCGUUGUACGGGUCCCAAACAACGCAGGCAGUUUCUAAAACUGAGCGUACCAGAGAGCAGUAGAGUGUGCGCAUAGUACCAGGAUCGUGAAACUCCUUUCCAAUCCUAAAUAUUAAACCAAGUUGACGAUUGGCUUUAUUGAUGAUCGCAGAAUAAUGCUGCCUAAAUGACAUACUGGUGUCCAAAAAAAACACCCAAAUCAGUGACAACGUCGCUACGAUGUAAAUAAGUGCCAGCGAUACGAUAGUCAAAAAGCAACGGCUGUUUUUUGCGCUGGAAGCUGAUCACGGUACAUUUGGGAAUGCUCAGCAUCAUAUAGUUGCGUAGGCACCAGUCGUUGAAAGCAUCGAGUAACGUUUGAAGUCUACAGCAAUCAUCAUAAUUCUCAACAAUUUGAAAUAUUUUAGUAUCAUCAGCGUACAAUAGUCGUGUGCCAGGUGGUAGAACUUUAGUUACAUCAUUAAUGUACAAAGAGAAAAGCAGCGGCCCAAGAAUGCUGCCUUGAGGAACACCAGAAUUGUUGCUGAACCAAGCGGAUUGCGACGUUCCCAACUGUACCGCGAUCUGUCGGUUGCGUAGAUAAGAACUGAGCCAUUUUACCAGUCCAGUUGAAGCUCCAAGCUUGUCGCAUUUUGCACAAAGUAAUCCAUGAUCAACACGAUCAAAAGCAGCUUUCAGGUCCGUGUUAUAUCAAUUUUACAAACAACUCUUUAUUUUCUCAAACUUACCGAUCGAAAUUGUGAUAAUAAGUACCGAACAUUUAUUACCUGAUUGAGUGUGUUGAACGUGUAGGAUGGUUGUAGGAUCUAUUUAUUGUACACACUUAUUUUGAAUCACCGAAUUCAUCUUUUUUCCACCGACUUUUCAACAGCUGAGCGCUCGGUAAAACGUUCGGUAAAAUAAACCACUACCGAUCGAUCAGUAAUCAAAUUUUUGUUGCUUUCUGUCAUUAUUACCGACCUAGUUUGUGAAAACGGCAAAUGCAAUUAAUUGCCAAAACCACCGAUCAAAUCUGUAAGUUGUGUAAGACAAUACCGAAAGAUCUGUGAUAAUUGUUUUUGUUCACUUUUAAUUACUUUAAGUAAACCAGAAAUAUGAUGUAACAUUGUUUUGAUAAAAAAAUAUUUUUAUUCAAAUGUUAUUAAAAAUUUUACCUAUUAAAUAUAAAAAAAAAAUCAAAAAUCGACGCUCGCCGCACCGAAUUUGUCAGGGUGAAAAUCAAUUAACCUUCAUGUCAGUUGUGCUCAAAGUUUCAAAGCCGAAGAUCUUCCGGGUGUGUCCAUUAACAAGGCGGUGUAAACUAUUUACGUAGCAUGCAACAGAUGCUCGGAAGUAGAGGCAAAUUAUGUGAUGGUUUGAUGCCUAAAAUAUUUACAAAUUUUGUUAUAUACUUACGAAGUUGUUGGAGAAAGUCCUCCAUGUUUUCGUAGGAACUUAGUCUUCAAACGGAACCGAGAAUGUGACUUGACAACCAGAACGAGAACAACGAAUAGAAAAAAUUUGACAGCACUAUAGUUGGUCCAGUAGUUUUUUUGAGUUUUAGACAUUAUGGCACACUUUUUUAUAUGAGAUUUGUAGAGAAGCUGGGUUUUUAUGAGAAAAGCGAAGAAUUUUGUCAUAAAAAGCCACAUGUGUAAGUAUUUUGGGGAAUUAAUAGCAUGGGCCAUCUUACCCAACUGGUGCGUCUUGUACGGUUCUCCCCUACUUGCUCAGCGCUUACCCCAAAUCAUUUUGAUUGGAUGCGUCAGAUGGUUCGAAACCACGAUGCCCAGUAUCGUUACAGGUCACCGCGCAGGCUCCUGCUAAUCUAUAGUGGAAACGACAAUAUCUGUAAGAGGAAUUGUAAUAAUAGUGGAUCCGAAUUUGCCAAGGAACUGUUGUUCCAAAGGCCGCAUGAUGUCUGUCGGCCAAAAUGUCUACAAAUGGCCAAGUUCGUUCGGCAGUCGUUAAGACUACUAUGAUACAAAUCAUAUUGUGUGUGUAUUUUUUGCUUUUUCUGUUUGUAAUUUUUUUUUUGGUUUUUACAUGAGAUAUUAAAUUUGGCCAAGCUAUAUAUUUUUUUAUGUUUCAUCUUGGAGGUAGAAUUUCAUUAAUCUUUGUCACUGUCAUCAAAUGAAAUCACCGUGCGUCCUAAUUUAAGGGUUAAUAAUAAUAAUAAUAAUAAUAAUAAUAAUAAUAAUAACGAUAAUAAUAAUAAUAAUAAUAAUAAUAAUAAUAAUAAUAAUAAUAAUAAUAAUAAUAAUGUUAAUGAUUAUAAUAAUGAUAGCAAUACAGGUCGGACUCGAUCAUCCGGAACAUCAAACAAGUUUUCAUUCCAGAUAAUCGAGUUUUCCGGAUAAUCGAAUCACAGAAAAAAUACUCAAUUUGAUAUUAACGAACAUAAAAUAAAUAUUUUCUUUCAUUUAUUUUACUUGUAUAACCAGAAAUUAUUUCUGUGGCGAAAAGGGGUAAAAUCUUGAGAAGCGAAAAUAAAUUGGACAUUGAUUAUUUUCACUCAAUUCGAACAUGUCCCAAACAUGCAGUGAGUGACAUAAAUAAUGGUCACAAAUAUGCCAGUAAAAUUUCGGAAUAAAAAUUAAAAACGAAAA